rnacentral:misc_RNA from 1 species
GCUGUUUCUGGGGUUGCAGGUAAAAGCAAAAUUCUCUUGUUAAUAUCUCUUUUUUUUGACUUGGUACAUGGGGGGACUCUAGAUUUAUCAUUGUUUUGGAAUGUAGUUAUAUAUUUGUUCACGUGUACUGAAGUUGACAAACAGACAAUUCCUUGUUCUUCAGUAUGUUAACAUACACUUUUGAUGAUAGCAUUAGAUGAUCCAGAGGAUAAUGAUAACAAUACCGAAAUUUGUCAGAUUUAUAUCUGUCUGAAUAGAAUGGUAACAUCUAUUAAUAUCAGUUUGGAAUAAAAUUAGAAUGCUUUGCUUUCUAUAGAGAAGCAAAUCCCUAAUUCUUCUGCGAAGGAACUUUUACUUUCUGUAGUAAAUCACUACUAAUGGUACAGCUGUGCAAGUGCAAGUCAUGGAAACAGCCUCACAAAAGAGUUGGGGAAAGACUGCUUAUAAUAGACAAUACUCCCCAACCCUUGCAAAGAGGUAAGCCUCAUGCACUGGGCAUGCCCCUUUUUUAGUAACUUACCUCGAUGAAGUGAAUGGGUGAUGCAGUCAAGGAAGAUUCAAU